CCCACUAACGAAGAUGUCUUUCCUUACAGGGUGACCACAGACAGACAUGCUUCUUUUUGUUUGCAGUAGGUUUGGGCACUGGUGUCCAUCUCUUUGGAAAGCAAUAUAUGAGGUAAGCUUAAAGGUACAUCAAGUGUUGGUGUGAGAAGCCGGUUUCUUCAAAGGCUUUCUCCAGUUCUGCAAUUUGGGACUGGUUGUAAGAGAUCUUUCUCUCUCUCGUCUGGUCUGGCCGCUUGUCUGAACCUUUGUUGCUGGGAACCUGUUUUUAGACAAAAGUACACUGCAAACAAGUGAGUGUUUAUAUUUCCGAGAGAGGAUGAAACAUAACGUCGUUAGUGUUUGCUGUUUUCCAGACUUCAUGGGAAAAAAGUUUCUAGAGCACCUAAAAGGUGGAUUACAUUAACCGCAGAUGCCAACAAACUUGGUGAAUUACCUGGCAUGAAAGUCUUCUGCAAAUGUCACAGACUGGUUUACCAUGUGC